UACGGAGGAUGCGAGCGUUAUCCUGAUUUAUUGGGUUUAAAGGGUGCGUAGGCGGCCGAGUAAGUCAGCGGUGAAAUUUUGCAGCUUAACUGUAACAGUGCCGUUGAUACUGCAUGGCUAGGAUUUGGUUGCUGUGGGUGGAAUGUGUGGUGUAGCGGUGGAAUGCGCAGAGAUCAGGAGGAAUACCGAAGGCGAAGGCAGUCUUCCAAGCCGUUAUUGACGCUCAACUGCGAAGGUGUCGGUAUCAAACAGGAUUAGA
rnacentral:rRNA from 1 species